GACAUCUGUACUAAACAAAUGAUACGAGAGCUUUUCUCAGAACUAACUUCUCUUUUCUAAGUUAUUUUUGUAAAAUGUUUCUAGUCACAAGGCAUUUUGGGUACACUGUAGUUUCUUAAAAUUUCAUGAAAAUGUAACUGAAUUCAUAAAAAGUAUGAAUUUCUGUCUGCCAUAAUGCUCAUGACUGGCUUAUUUGAUCAUUUCUAAAGGGAAAAACAAAGUAGAUUGUCCAUCUGGAGGAUAUUGAAAGGACAUUACUGCUUUGCACAAGAAUGUUUUUCUGGUCCAUUUCACCACAUUUUCAGUUUGUCACCACAGUUUUUUUAGAAAUCGUCUUCUUUUUAUGUGGUCUGAAUUGUGUUUAACAACAGCCGUGCACCAAAUGUGACCGCACAGCAGACUCCCAGAUUAUGAACCACUUAUCUGUCAGCGGUGCACUGGCAGGGGUUCUGGAUCGAAUCUUAUUUUGUCACUCCAUUGGGUGUUUGAAAUAGCAUGAGGAUGUUUGUUUUUCCUAAGUGCAUCUUUGUCCCUCAAAGUACAUACUUGUGUUUUUUAUAACAGUUUAAUACAUGAAAUGUUUAUACUUUAUAGAAUAAUGUGAAAGACAGUUAGCACUUAUUUGUGUUUUUCUGUGUGUGUAGUAAACCUGGACAGCAGACUCGAUAUGCUUUGGUUUUGUCUCCACCUUAUGGCCAAGAAUGAUACUGCACUGUAUCGCGUUCAUUUCUAUUGAUUUACAAUCCACAAGCUGGUCGCGUGGGUUCCUUCUGCCUCUGUACUGGUACAUCACAAAAUAAUGCGGAUCUUAAGAUGAAAUUUAACUACGUCAGGUACAAUUUCUAAUGUCUGUAUCACAUUAUGCUUGAUUGUAUGGCUGUAAAUGUUGCAAAAUAAUGGUGUAAAAUAUGAAUCAAUAGUUUAAAAAUCUGUUUGACCUACACUUUACUUAUAUUAAACUUUACUUGGAUUACUUUUUCUAAAACAUGACUUUCUAACACAAAUAUAUUCAUUGUACCUGAUUUAAUUAUAUUAAUAAAACGUUUUUACAUUUUAUUGUUUAAAUCUUU
ensembl:lncRNA